AUUCUUAUUCAGUUCAAAAGCAUGAUGAUCUAGUUUUCACAUACCUGUGUGAUAUGUACCUCCCUUUAACCUUGUAACAAUGUCAACACAUGACCCUUCUGACA